GACGAACGCUGGCGGCGUGCCUAAUACAUGCAAGUAGAACGCUGAAGAGAGGAGCUUACUCUUCUUGGAUGAGUUGCGAACGGGUGAGUAGCGCGUAGGUAACCUGCCUUGUAGCGGGGGAUAACUAUUGGAAACGAUAGCUAAUACCGCAUAACAAUGGAUGACACAUGUCAUUUAUUUGAAAGGGGCAAUUGCUCCACUACAAGAUGGACCUGCGUUGUAUUAGCUAGUAGGUGAGGUAAUGGCUCACCUAGGCGACGAUACAUAGCCGACCUGAGAGGGUGAUCGGCCACACUGGGACUGAGACACGGCCCAGACUCCUACGGGAGGCAGCAGUAGGGAAUCUUCGGCAAUGGGGGCAACCCUGACCGAGCAACGCCGCGUGAGUGAAGAAGGUUUUCGGAUCGUAAAGCUCUGUUGUAAGUCAAGAACGGGUGUGAGAGUGGAAAGUUCACACUGUGACGGUAGCUUACCAGAAAGGGACGGCUAACUACGUG
rnacentral:rRNA from 1 species